rnacentral:lncRNA from 1 species
GCCCCAAAUGCUAAUAAAAAUUAAACAAACCAUCACCACAUCAGUCCAACAAACUGCAAAGGAGAUUGCGUCGAGCAAACUACAAUAUUUUUCGGCCAGAUCUAUGCAAAAAGGCAAUCUAUGCAUUUUUCGGCCAAAAAGGCUACAAUAUAUACAAAAUAUACAAAAAGGCAAGAGACAAAGAGAAGUCACCGGAAAAGAGUAAUUUUCGGCCAGAUCUAUGCAUCAAAUAUCAAUGACGAAAAUAUACCAUUUUUCAUAGCCAAAAACGAAUCAAAGGGCGAUGGGGAGGGGACUGCUGCGCUGGUGGCGGCGUUGGAGGUUCACCGGACAUCUGGCGGUUAAAUCCGUCGGCGGCAGUGUGAUGGGGAAAGGGUAAAGAGAGGCGGCGGGUUGGGAAGCUCGCGGAUGUGUUGUUUUGGUGCCUCGCCGGUCAUCACUUCCGGCGACGCAAGGCAGCGACGAGCGGGGAGACAGUGGCUUUCCAGUGGCUGGUAAUGGGAGACGAAGGAGGGAGAAGAUAGAGGGAGAGAAAGGUGGUGGUGGAUCGCCGAGCUCGGCGGUGGAGCAGCCAUGGAUGUGCAGAAAAGAGAAGAUGCUUAGUUUUGAAAGAGAGAGACGUUUGAGAGAGAAAAUAAAUCUAAUGUAUGUGUAUAUGUUUUGUAAUUAAAAUUCACCACCUCCUCUUUACCCAAAAAAUAAGAGGUUAAACCUUCUUGUUCCCUUAAAAACUUAUUUUAGUGCAAAAUUAUUAACCAAAAGAUUAUUUCGUUCUUUUAACUAACGUAUAAAAAUUAUAUUCAGGGGAUAAAAAUACUAAUCCGUCACUUCGAAUGUUAUCUUUUAAAAUGUGAUAAAUAAAUAUAUAAACUUAAAUUUGCAGAUCAUAUUAAAUAAUAUAUAAAAAUAUAAAUAUCGAUAUAUAAUUACAAAAAAUAUAAGUAACAUAAUUAUCUUGAAAAAUAUAUUAUGCUAUAAAUAAUUAAAAUUAUAAUAUGUAAAAAAGAAUUGCAGCGUUAUGUUAUGUACAUAUGCAAAUGACUGUGUAAAAAUAUUAAAAUAAUAAUAGACCGAUAAAAAUCUUAAAAUUUAUAAAAUUAAAGAUAAUUAUCAAUAAAUCAUGUAAAAUAAAAAAUAUGACGAUAAACGAAUAAACAGUGUAAAAUAAUGAUGAUUAUCAAUAAUUUAUUAAUAAUUGUAAAAAAUAUAUGAAAAAUUGCAUAUUGUGUCAUUUAAUGAUCAAGGAGCCUAAAGGCGUUAUUUUUAAGUAUGGAGAACCAAAAUAGGGUGUCAACAGUUUGUCCCUUUUCGUUUGAAGAUAAUGUAAAACUAUUCAAAUGAAAACGUAGUCAAUUUUUCUUGAAAAAAUAUUAUUUUUAUCAAAAAUUCGAGUAAACUCCAAUUUAGAAUUGCUAUCUCAAAAUGUCCUAAUUUAGGGUGGACGAACUCAAUGUAUACUCAAAUUUUAUGCCUGCAAAAAUUUAUAAAACUGAAAACAAUAGAUAAACGAGUAACUAAGCUUGAUUUUUUUUUCAAGAAAUUAGAAAAAUGACAUGUAAGCUUUAACUAAUGUAAAGAUAAAUAAAUAAACUCAUUGCACAAUUUUAACCGAAUACAAAAAAAAUAUUCAACUGAAGACAGACACACAUAAAGAUCUUAUUAGAGGGCAUACUAUUUCAAAAUGUUCUAUUUUAAGUUGGACGGACUCAAUUUAUCCUCAAAUUAUAUGCUUGCAAAUGCAUCAAUUUAAGAAGUACUGUUCAAUAAACACAAAUAAAAUAUGUGUGCAAAGGCAAAGAUGACAUGCAAUGCUUAAAUGGUGAAAAAUGCAUUACGAUAUAUGCGUACAGUGUUUAAAAAAGAAAAUAAAUGCAUUGCGAUAUGCGUUAGCAAAGGCAAAGAUGACAUGCAGUGCUUAAAUAGUGAAAUAAAUAUAUUGCGAUAUUUGCGAGGUAUGCAGUGCUUAAAUAAUAAAAUGCAUUGUGAUAUGAGCCAAUAAAGACAAAGAUGACAUGCAAUGCUCAAAUAAUAAAAUAAAAUGCAUUGCGAUGUGCAAAUAAAGAUAAAGAUAGCGUGCAGUGCUUAAAGGAUAACAUAAAAGCAUUGCGUUGUAUGCAAAUAAAGAUAAAACUAACAUACAGUGCUUAAAAUGAUGAAAUAAAUGCAUGCAAGUAAAGGGAAAAAUAAACUAUAGUUCUUAAACUAUAAAAUAAAUACAUUGUAAUGCGUGCAAGUAAGGCCAGAAUAAAAUGCGAUGCUUAGAUGAUAAAAUAAAUGCAUUGUGAUGCGUGCAAGUAAAGGCAAAAAUAGAAUGCGGUGCUUGAACGAUAAAAUAAAUGUAUUGCGAUGCGUACAAAUAAAGACAAAGAUAAAAUGCAGUGCUUAAAUGAUAAAAUAAAUGCAUUGCGAUAUGUGUCAGCAAAGGCAAAAACAACACGCAGUGUUAAAUAAUAAAAUAAAUGCAUUGUUAGAUGUGUAAAUAAAGACAAGAAAAAUAUACAGUACGUAAAUAAUAAAUGAUAAAAUAAAUACAUUGUGAUGUAUGCAAAUAAAGAUAAAGAUAGCAUACAGUGCAAAAAAAAAUAAAUGAAGUGUGAUAUGUGCAAGUAAAGACAAGCAAGCAUAAAUAUUAAAUUGAAAAAAACAUACAUAACUGUCUUGUGGAGGGCAGACUGGCCCAAUUAUCCUAUUUUAAGGUGGACAAAUCUAUGCAAAAAUAAUUAUUGAGCAAAAAAUUAUUUGGGGAUGAAAGUGCUCAUAUAUCCUCGAUGUUGCUUUCAAAUUUGUCCAGUAUCGAGCUGUGAGGUGCUAGGAGAUGCAGGAUUGUUUACUUAAUGGGGAGAAAGAAUGAUUAUGAGGUUGUGGUGACCGAACUUUGCAUAGAGCUUCCUACUUAUCUCGACUGUUACAAGAAUCAGGUCAUUUUUUUUUUUAAAUGAGAAUAAUAGGAUAAAUUUUUUAGGCGGUUCUCAAAAUUUACCCAGUGUAUGAUUUAUGCUGAUAUGUCUUGUUCUAAGGAAACUAAAAAAAUGAUUUUGCUAUUGUAGAUUGAAAAGAUGCAUGACGUCUCCGAUUAUUUACAGGAACUGAUGCUGAUUGCCGUUUUCGAUUGUCUACGAAGAUUAAGGCCCUCAACUAGUGAGGUGACUGACAUCUAAUAGCCUUUCGACUGACGAGGCUAUUGAAAUGUAAAAAGGCUCUAGACUGCAAAACAAAUGUAAUAGGCUCUCGACUGGAUGGACUAUAAAAAAUGUAAAAAAUAUUUAAAAAUGAGCGCCUAACUAAAAAAUAAAUAUCGAUAUUUAAAGGCAUAUGCUUGAAAGAAAAAGUCAAAUACUUAUAUUUCAAAAUUGAACGCCUUCAAAUAAAAAUAGAAAUACAUGUAUGUGAAAGUGGACACCUUAAAUGAAAGGUAAAACAAAUGCCCAUAUAUGAAUGUGGGCAUCUUGAAAAAAGAAAGAAAGAAUUUUUUAUUUUCUUGAUAAAAAGUGUUGAAUGAGGAAGAAGACACGAUCAUGUCACGGCUUUAGUUGGUACCAAUAAAUAGUAGUAUGCAUAAAAAUUCCCUCAUCUCUUUCCCAUCUAACUGAGAUCGACUUCAGGAUAACUCCUAUAGUUUCAAGUGGUAUCUUAGACACGCCUAAGUAUAGACAAGAUUUGUUCAUCUUACUUCAAACAGUGAUUUUACACUAUGCUCAUUCUCAUGUUUCAAGUGCCCUCUCUAGAAAGAAAGUCUCAUUUCGCACAUAUUUGAGUAAUUUUCUUUUUGAAUUUAGGGACGUCUCAAGAAAUACACUCAUGCUCAAAAAGAAAUUCAAUGUAUGAAAUUAUGAUACCAUAGGCUUAACCUUCAUAUAAGUAUCAACUAAUGUAAGAAAACUUGGAUUGGAAUCACGUAGGACUUGUUAUUGGCUUGUAAUAUAGGCUUGAAGAUAGGUAGGAUGAUAGUUGGGAUAAAAGUGACUUAUUACUCAAUGAGCAUUACACUGUAUUUGUGCUUAUUAUUGCACUUUGAUGCAUCAUCUUCUUUGUCGUGCUUUGUUGCCCCUUAUUUUGUAUUUGCUUACUUCUUUUGAAUUUUGCGUUGGAGUUUUUUUCCCUUUUUUUUUCAAGAAAAUAUAUAUUUUUGUUUUUCUUUCUUUUCUUUUUUCUUUUUGGUAGGAAUUUGCUCCUUUUGAAGUCGUUUUUCAUUUUUGUUCAUCUGAACAAUAUAUUCUUUGCAUUUUUCGUCUUUGAUCUUGAAUCUUCGUCCACAAUUUGCACGUAUUUAGUGCGCUCAAAGAGGUAGGGCCAAGAGAGGAUAGUGCAUGUAAGCACUUAGAAAGGUAUAUGCUCAAAUGCGGUUAUACAAAGAAAAAGUCUUAGGCUCAAAAGAGGGAAUGUUAGGGAUUAAUGUCAUUUGAUGGGAUGUAAAAGGCUCAAUCGGAUAAAAAAAGGCCUAUGAUCCUUUCCUAAACCAAGUGCAACUCAGAAUUUCGCCUUAACAGACAUUAAGGUUAAGUUCUAGAUCAACAAUGCAGUAUAAUGAAUUAAACUAAAGCUCGCCACACAUACGCAUGAAACUAUGAGGUUGACUUUGUUCUUGUCUUAGAUGUAUGCAAGAGAAUUUUUUCAAGAAUUACUCAAGUGUGAUAAAAGGUACCAAAGAAACCUAUUGUUUACCAUAAAGUCGGCCCUUUUCAUCAUACCCAUUUGUUCUUUCUUAUGCACACUCCUAACUGUAUUGACAUCAACUAAGUCAAAAUUAUUUUUUUAUUUAAAAAAUGGGACUGAAUUCAAAAUAAGGAUUGCCUACGUAUCUUGCGAAAACAAGAAUCAGGUCUGCGUAGUUCAGUUAAAUUUGUGAAUUUAUAUGUACAAUGCAUGAUUGUAAAAAAAAUGAUGGUCAUUCUUAAAAAUAAUAUGAAAGAUGAUUAGAAGAGAACUGUUUUUAACAUCAAAAUUGUUCUGAUCAAAUGAUUGAGAAAAUAGAUGUCAAGCAUGGGGAGGGCUUUGACACAACUUCAGUAUGCUGAUAAGAUUGAAAAACUCAGUCAAUGAAGAAAUUAUAAAAUUAUUUUGCUGCAGUUGGCAAAAUUGUUAUGAUUGAAAGAAUAUUGAACCCUCGAUUUUGAAAGUGAGGAUCGAGAAGUCAUAAAUUUAAUGGUUUACGAUGUUCGAAAAAAAUUAGGUAUUCUUGCACGUAAAUCGCCUGAGACUUUAGAAGUAGGCCGACUAGGCACUAAUAUCAAUGAAAUUUGGAUUUGAGGAGAUAUUAAAUUGUGCUCUUGAAGGCUUUUGGAGAGCGUCUUUGAACUGUUUCAGAAAAUUGUCCUAAUUUAAAUACCGAAGAAAUUAUUUUGAAACAGUGAAGAGAUCGAACCCUAAUAUAGGACUGCCUACGUAUCUUGUCAGGACAAGAAUUAGAUUAAAACGUAGUUCAAACCUAUACGCAACUAUCGACAAUGUUGCUAAGGUGCAUCUUUUAAUUGAUUCGCUAUGCAAAACAAAGGUUAUCUCACUAAAGUAUAAUCAAUUUAGAGCAAAUAAAUAUGUACAGACACAAUAAUCCUUCAAAUGUGUAUAAAGACUAUAAUAAUAUGUCACUCGGGUCGUGAACCCUUCAAACAUUUGGACAAAAUUGACUAACAAUGCAUGUACCUAAAAAGGUGAUAUUGUAGCUCUAUUCUAUGCUGACUAAGAAUGGGUAAAUACAAACUUGAAUUUUCUAUAUGAGAAGGCACGUAGUUCCACGACAAUAAAAUUCCCGCUCACCCCAUGUGUACGCCAAUUCUCUAAAAUAAGGUGAUUUAAAAUUUUUUGAGAAAGUACAAUGUACAAUCCGCGUGUACAAUGUGUGUAAGUGUCAAUUUUUCAAAAUGAAGGAAAUAUGAACGGAAUGACAAUUUAUAUAAAGCGAUAAACAAAUAAACAAUCUAUAAAAUAAUAACAAAUAAAUAAUUUAAGCCAUAUACAACAACAACAAUAACAAGCCCAGUGUAUUCCCAUAUAGUAGGGUCUGGGGAGGGUAAAAUGUACGCAGACCAUACCGCUACCCCCGAAGAAGUAGAGUAUUAAAAAAAUUACAAAUAAAUAAUUUAAGCCAUAUACAACAACAACAACAAGCCCACCAGAGUCACCACCAGAGUCGCCAAAUUGUCAUACCCGAUUUUUACCUAAGGUCAAAACGAGCACGACAUUAUGGACUCAAAAAGAAUUAACUAUAUAUAGAGUCGCCACCUAAUUUUUAAGGAAAAAUAGGAAACCUAUUUAUUUGUUUAACAAAUAUGACUUUAAUUAAUCUACGAAAUCAUUUUAAAUUCUAGGUAAGAGUUCAAAUGAUUUCAAAGGGAAGAGGUUAGACACCCUUCAGAAUCCACAAAUGUGGUUCUCGACCAGACUUAGGUUUAUUAAUAGGGAAGAGAAAAAAUCAAUGUUUAUAAAUACAAAUAUACAAUGCGUAUGUUAUCAUAAAAUAUAUAUAAACAAAAUAUAUAACUAUGUAUGUAAAGACAAUAGAAUAAAGAAAAAUUAUUUUAAGGAAAAAAAAACUACGUAAUAUUUAUUGAUGUAAAAGAUGUGAAUUAUUUGAUUAAAUAUAUAAAUUAAUUUUAAUAUAAAUAUUAAAGGCCUAAAUUUGCCUAACGUAUGAUGAGAAUCGCAUAAAAAAUUAAAAAUAUCAAAAAAUUAUAUUAAAGAAAAAAAAUAUGCAAUAUCUUUCAAUGUAUGGAUUAAUUAGUUAAGUAUCUAAAUUAAUUUAAUUUUUUUAAUAUAAAUAUUAACGGCCUAAAUUUACUUAAACGCGUGGUGAAUAUUUGUAUAAAAGCAUUCCAGUCCAACACCGCAAAAAAUAAAAUUUUCACUAUAAUCACUAUUUGUACAAGUGUAAGAAUAUAAAAUACAAACAUAAAAAUUAAAAAUUUCUUUGCAUGCCAUUCCCGAUAAAUAUUUCCAAUAACCUGUAUAAACACUUGAAGUAAAAUGUUAAUAACAAAUAAACAACUAUCAAAAUAAAUUGAGAACGUAUGUGUGCAUAUAUGUAUAAAAAAAUAUAAUUUUUCGUUAAAGGUGAGUACAGAUUAAAUUUCAAAUAUGACAUAGCUACGAAGUGGUUGCUUUAUUAGCCGUUCUAAAUCGUUUUGUCAAGAUACGAAUCAUAAAAUUUUUUGCAUUGUUAUAAAAAUUUCGUCAUCAUCCAAAUUUAUUUAUUUUAUUACGUAUUUAUAUACAUAAUAUCCGUCUUUUUAUUUGUGCAGGCCUAAAAAAUUGAUGAAAAAUUUCUUCAUCGGCCAUAUGUCGGUCCUUAAUAUAAAAUAAUAAGUUUGAUGAAAUAAAAUUCAUCUUUUAUAAUAAGAUGGAUUUAAAUAUGCAGAUGGAGAGAUAAUUUUAUUGACCAAAAAAUAAUGAAAAAUAAUAAAAACUUUAUAUGAUAUUGGUGAAUAAUUAGCAAUUCAAACGUAAUACUUUACAUGGAGUAACAAAUCAGCUGCAGUAUAGGAUCAAAACACUAACUAUGAUAACGAGGAGAGCAAGUAUAACUUGGCCAAGAAAGUUCAAAAAAAUAACUUAAAAAUUAAACAGCUUUCUGGAACUAAACAACAAUAAUGACAAUCAGCAAACCCAACUUAAAUGUAUUGGUAUUAACGUGCAAACAUAGAAACAGAUGAAAUACUUUAAACAAGAACUAAACCAGCAUUUUUUUUUUAAAAGAUGGUACAAAAAAAAUAAUUAAAAAUAAAAGGUGCAUGAACCGAUAAAUAUCAGCAAAUAGCUACAGACCAAAUAAAACAUUUAACAACUAUAUUUAGUCAAGAAAAAUAGUCAAUAACAAGAAGAAUAAUGCAACAAUGUUAACAACAAUAACGGUCGGUCAAUGUAAAAAAAAAUGCUAAAACGAUGCCCCAACUGCUAAUAAAAAUUAAACAAACCAUCAACACAUAAGUCUAACAAACUGCUAAGGAGAUUGCAUCGAGCAAACUAAUGAUAUCCCAAGACUACAAUAUAUACAAAAAGACAAGAGACAAAGAGAAGUCACCGGAAAAGAGUAUUUUUCGGCCAGAUCUGUGCAUUAAAUAUCAAUGACGAAAAUAUACCAUUUUUCAUAACCAAAAACGAAUCAAAGGGCGAUGGGGAGGGGACUGCUGCGCUGGUGGCAGCAUUGGAGGUUCGCCGGCUGUCCGUCGGUUAAUUCCGGCGGCGACAGUGUGAUGGGGAAAGGGUAAAGAGAGGCGGCGGAUAGAGGGAGGCAAGGCAACGACGAGCGGGGAGACAGUGGAUUUUCAGUGGCUGGUAAUGGGAGACGAAUGAGGGAGAAGAUAGAGGGAGGGAAAGGUGGUGGUGGUGGUGGUGGAGGAUCGCCGGAGCUCGGCGGUGGAGCAGCCAUGGAUGGUGCAGAAAAGAAACGAUGCUUAGUUUUGAGAGACGUGAAUUUGAGAGAGAGAAAAAGAUCUGAUGUAUGUGUAUAUGUUUUGUAAUAAAAAUUCACCCCCUCCUCUUUCCUAUAAUAAAAAAGAUGACCCCUUUCUUUACCCAAAAAUAAAAGAUUAACCUACUUGUCCUCUUAAAAUUCAUUUUAG